rnacentral:tRNA from 1 species
GUCGGUGUGUUGGAAUUGGCAGACGAGGUGGACUCAAAAUCCAUUGUCAGCGAUGACGUGUGGGUUCAAGUCCCACCACCGGCACCA